CAGCAGCCACGGUAAUACGAAGGGUGCAAGCGUUAAUCGGAAUUACUGGGCGUAAAGCGUGCGUAGGCGGUGAGUUAAGUCUGCUGUGAAAUCCCCGGGCUCAACCUGGGAAUGGCAGUGGAUACUGGCUCGCUAGAGUGUGUCAGAGGAUGGUGGAAUUCCCGGUGUAGCGGUGAAAUGCGUAGGGAUCGGGAGGAACAUCAGUGGCGAAGGCGGCCAUCUGGGACAACACUGACGCUGAGGCACGAAAGCGUGGGGAGCAAACAGGAUUAGAUACCCGCGUAGUCCCUGUCUCUUAUAC
rnacentral:rRNA from 1 species